AGAGUUUGAUCCUGGCUCAGAAUCAACGCUGGCGGCGUGCCUAACACAUGCAAGUCGAACGCGGCUUUUCCCGCAAGGGAGAAGCUGAGUGGCAAACGGGUGAGUAACACGUGGGUGACCUGCCUUCGAGUGGGGGAUAACGUUUCGAAAGGAACGCUAAUACCGCAUAACAUCCUGUCUUUUAAGAGAUGGACAUCAAA
rnacentral:rRNA from 1 species